UGGCCCCCACCCACUCUUUGUGCAAGUCCUGAUGUGUUGUAUAGGAAAUGACAAUUUUGGUGGGUGGAGGCAGGGGAGUGGAAAAGGAAGGGGAAGGAGAGACUGCUCACAUUGUCAUUAUGAUGGCCUUUCAGCUCAGGUCUCUCUCUGCUAGCUGGCUUCCUGUUGCAGCUAUCCAUAUUGCUAUCGCAAUCCUUCUUGCCCAUAUUGCUAUCGCAAUCUUUUUUUCACCUCUUCACUUCAAAAAGAUUGAAGAUUUUUCCCUUAACCUGAAUUCCUGACUCCGACUGAUUUUAAAUACGCGGUCAUUACAGGAAGGCUCAGAAAGACUAUAUGGGAGAGAAAAGGUCUUAAGUUGUUUACCAAACUGAAGAAUUAGAUUUGUGCUGACCUCAUUGUUUUAGUCUUGUAAAACUUUGAUAGACUAUGAGUGCCAUGCCAGAAAACUGAACCACUUUCAUUGAUUUAUUUUAGGAGCAUUCUGAAGAUUAGAAGAUAAAGACAAGAUAAACUACUGGAAACUGAGGUCCUUUCUCAAGCUGAACUGCCAAAUAUUCAAACUCUACUUGUAAUGCUGGAGAAACUGAGGCAAGAUAGAGAUUAGAGAAUCAAGAAAUUGAGGCUGAGAAAAUUAAAGUGACUUGCCUAUUGUCACAGUACCAGGUACAUAUAAGAAUCUUCAGCAUUCCCUGUCUCCAGCUCUUAAGAGACCUCAUUUGCUAUGAAGAAUAUCCCUCAUUAAAUUUUACUGGUUAUGUA